GAGGGUAUAGCUCAGUGGUAGAACACAUGCUUAGCGUGCAUGAGGUCCUGGGUUCAAUCCCCAGUACCUCCA
rnacentral:tRNA from 1 species